UUGUUCCAUCCAUUCUAUUACCAUACAAGGGUGCAAGGAGACACACAACGAAGCUUGGUGCGUUCGGAAGUCGAAGGACCGCUCUCGUUUUCUUUUAUCCACCACUUUUCUACACUCGAACUCCCCUAGCCUUGUGUUAGUAGGCGGAUAAACAAUUGAGGGAUUGUGUUAAUGUUUAAAAACGCACCCGAAGGUGAAGUUGCUUAGUCUUGAUUGCGAAUAGGAAGCAUGCUCACUUAGGACCGGACG
rnacentral:lncRNA from 1 species